rnacentral:rRNA from 1 species
AUUGAACGCUGGCGGCAGGCCUAACACAUGCAAGUCGAGCGGAGCGGCGGACGGGUGAGUAAUGCCUAGGAAUCUGCCUGGUAGUGGGGGUGAACGUCCGGAACGGGGGGCAAAUACCCAAAACAAUAAGAUGAGCCUAGUUCGGAUUAGCUAGUUGGUGGGGUAAAGGCCUACCAAGGCGACGAUCCGUAACUGGUCUGAGAGGAUGAUCAGUCACACUGGAACUGAGACACGGUCCAGACUCCUACGGGAGGCAGCAGUGGGGAAUAUUGGACAAUGGGCGAAAGCCUGAUCCAGCCAUGCCGCGUGUGUGAAGAAGGUCUUCGGAUUGUAAAGCACUUUAAGUUGGGAGGCGUUACCAACAGAAUAAGCACCGGCUAACUUCGUGCCAGCAGCCGCGGUAAUUC